ensembl:miRNA
AAAAGAGCUGGUCAAGACCUGAUCUCAGCAGAUUGAGGAGAGCACCUCAGUGGUCACCUCACAGUUUGCUGAAGUUGGAGCUCCUAAGA